UAGGGAAUCUUCGGCAAUGGACGAAAGUCUGACCGAGCAACGCCGCGUGAGUGAAGAAGGUUUUCGGAUCGUAAAACUCUGUUGUUAGAGAAGAACAAGGACGUUAGUAACUGAACGUCCCCUGACGGUAUCUAACCAGAAAGCCACGGCUAACUACGUGCCAGCAGCCGCGGUAAUACGUAGGUGGCAAGUGUUGUCCGGAUUUAUUGGGCGUAAAGCGAGCGCAGGCGGUUUCUUAAGUCUGAUGUGAAAGCCCCCGGCUCAACCGGGGAGGGUCAUUGGAAACUGGGAGACUUGAGUGCAGAAGAGGAGAGUGGAAUUCCAUGUGUAGCGGUGAAAUGCGUAGAUAUAUGGAGGAACACCAGUGGCGAAGGCGGCUCUCUGGUCUGUAACUGACACUGAGGCUCGAAAGCGUGGGGGGCAAACAGG
rnacentral:rRNA from 1 species